UGAAUGCGGCUGAAAAUCCUACCCAACUCCUUCUUCUGGCCGCCUGCCGCUAUACCUCCCUCUCCUUAUACACCAUCCCUCUGACACGCUUUAGCAUGGCAACAGAAAAGGCAUGGACGGAAGCAAUAGGUCUGUGGUAGAGAUGGAAAAACUAGAUCCCUGCGACUCUCCUCAAUCACACCCAGAAUGACGUAACCACCCACAGACUCCACUUCCUACAGAUUCUACCACCUCCCAAGUCCCAGAGGGUCUUCACAGCACAUACCAGAGAAUGUGUGCAGUGCCCACAAAGCUGGUAGCCCUGAGUUUACACAACACAACAGUACUCUGCCAGUCUGUGACUGCAUGUAAACGUGAGACUUGACUGCACCGUCGAAGAGGCCGACCGAGGAGGCCAGGAAGACACAUACUUAUAAAGAAGUUCCUUUACUUGUAAGUGAGUGUGCAUAUCUAUGGUGAGACGAGUGAUCAAGCGUGCGCAUCUGCCCUUCUCAAACUCUGCUCCCUGGAGGUAUGAGGUGAGGGGUGUUGGGUGAGGAACAUGUGUCCUCCUCCCGCACGACUCCUCCAGACCUCUACAGAAUGAGCCUGAAGGGCCAGGAAUGGAGCUCGGUGGCAGCAUGAUUUCCCAGCAUAUAUCAGGUGCCACAUUCAGUCGCUAGUGUGGAAAAAAAAGCGGAACACGGCUCAGAAACACUUUUUCUAAAGAUUCAUGAUAUUGGAUAUUUCAGUAGAUAAAAACAUCACUAGCAGAUGGCUGCUAACAGCAAGAGAACUUGAAAGCCAGCAUAUUUCAACGGCAACAGCCACUCUUACUCACUCCCUUUCCUGGUAACCUCUUUAUUUUGUCUUUAAAACCCUAAUAAAAACACUACGUAAUUUGCUCCAACACCA